CCCUGAAAACUUUUGAAAUAUCCA
rnacentral:miRNA from 1 species